rnacentral:lncRNA from 1 species
AUUUAAAUAAGUAAUUAGUUUAAAUUUUAUAUUUGAAAAGCCAUCAAAUUAACAUGCCUUGGGCUACAAUGGAAGCUCCUGGAUACGCCAACAGACUCACCGUAUGCACAAAAAGUACCUCGCACACACGAAAUGUCAACCACUUGUUAACGGCAAGUCUUAUGAGUUCACAACUAAAUAAAUUCUAGGAGUCCAUAACUAACGAGUAUCAGAGUAUAGAAUAACUGAAACAUAGGAUGUGUUUGGUUCAAAGUCAAAAUCGAAAACGGAAUCGGAAUUAGAAUCAAAGUAACUCGGAAUCGGAAUCGGAAUGACUCAUUACCUAAUUCUGUUCAAUUCGUCACCUGAAUCGAAAUCGGAAUAAAUCAUUUCUCUUGUCGGUGUUUGGUUCAAGUAGAUAUAAAAAAUGUAAUCAAAUUAAUAUACUAACUUUAUCUUUAUAAUAUAUUAAUUUAAAUUCAAAUUAAAAAUUAAAUAUUAAAAAUUUACAUCAAAAUUUUAAAAUAAUGUCAAAAUUUUAAAUCUAUUUUUUUAAAAAAAUUAAACUUUGAAGUUGAGUGAAAAAUUCAAAAUAUAAAACUAAAUUUUGAUUUAUUCAAAUUCAAACUUAAAAUUACAAUUUAAAUUUUAAUUUAAAUUCAUAAAUUUAAUUUAAGUUUUAAAUAAAUUUGAAUAAAACUUUAUAUAAAUUAAAAUUUAAUUUAAAUUCAAAUUCAUAAGUUGGAUUCGAAAUACUUGAUUAAAUUUUAAUUUUUAAUUCAAAUUCAAAUUAAAAUUUAAAAUUAUAAAUUUAAUUUCUAAAUUUAAACUCAUAUUUUAAUUAAAAAUUUUAAAAAAUAAAUUUAAUCCGAAUAAAUAUCCAUUUUGUGUAGUAUCCUUGUUUUUUUCUUUUGAGUUGGUAAAAGGGUAGGUUUGACUUUUGAGUUGUGGAUA